rnacentral:rRNA from 1 species
CUACGGGAGGCAGCAGUAGGGAAUAUUGGGCAAUGGUCGAAAGACUGACCCAGCCAUGCCGCGUGCAGGAUGAAGGCGCUAUGCGUUGUAAACUGCUUUUGUUAGGGAAGAAAAUGGCUAUGCGUAGCAACUUGACGGUACCUAAAGAAUAAGCAUCGGCUAACUCCGUGCCAGCAGCCGCGGUAAUACGGAGGAUGCAAGCGUUGUCCGGAUUUAUUGGGUUUAAAGGGUGCGUAGGCUGUUUUAUAAGUCAGUGGUUAAAUUAUCUUGCUUAACAAGAGACCUGCCAUUGAUACUGUAAAACUUGAAUACUGACUAGGUAGGCGGAAUUGGUAGUGUAGCGGUGAAAUGCUUAGAUAUUACCAGGAACACCGAUAGCGAAAGCAGCUUACUGGACAGUUAUUGACGCUGAGGCACGAAAGUGCGGGUAUCAAACAGGAUUAGAUACCCUGGUAGC